rnacentral:rRNA from 1 species
GACGAACGCUGGCGGCGUGCUUAACACAUGCAGGUCGAACGGAAAGGCCCUGCUUUUGUGGGGUGCUCGAGUGGCGAACGGGUGAGUAACGCGUGAGUAACCUGCCCUUGACUUUGGGAUAACUUCAGGAAACUGGGGCUAAUACCGGAUAGGAGCUCCUGCUGCAUGGUGGGGGUUGGAAAGUUUCGGCGGUUGGGGAUGGACUCGCGGCUUAUCAGCUUGUUGGUGGGGCAGUGGCUUACCAAGGCUUUGACGGGUAGCCGGCCUGAGAGGGUGACCGGCCACAUUGGGACUGAGAUACGGCCCAGACUCCUACGGGAGGCAGCAGUGGGGAAUAUUGCACAAUGGGCGGAAGCCUGAUGCAGCAACGCCGCGUGCGGGAUGACGGCCUUCGGGUUGUAAACCGCUUUCGCCUGUGACGAAGCGUGAGUGACGGUAAUGGGUAAAGAAGCACCGGCUAACUACGUG